CUCCGGAAGUACGCAUCCACAUACAUCCACUCAUUUCCAUAUCCAGAUUCACCCAAAAUUAUUCUACUCCUAUCUGGGAGAGAAUAGCCAAAAACAUUCUCCUAUUUCUGUUUUCCCCUGUGAAAUAAAUGCUCAAGUUAUUUCGGUUACUACCACUUGCUACAUUAUUUUAAGAGAUGAGUGUUUUAAAAAAAGUGAAAAAUACGAGGAAAUAAAAAGGGGCAAGUGCCCGGAACCUCGAAAGAAAAGAAAAAGUGAGACGAGAGGUAAAAAUGGACAAGUGUCCGGCAGUAGAAUUAGGGGUACAAGAUACCCACCUGAGAGAAAAGAAAAAGAAAAUAUAGAGCAUCUCAUUCUCCUCAAAAAGUUUCAAAAGAGCAAGAAAGGUAUGUAUCCCCUCAAAAGAGCACAAGUAGAAUUAGACUUUCACCAUUGUUAUCACCAUCAUCACCAUACACCAUUCAUUCGCCACACAUGCACACCUUGAUUUGACUUAUUGACUUGUUCUUCUGGAUCCAUGGUUUGACUAUGCCAUAAAUGUCUCGUAAGUAUGUAUUAGCUGUCUCCCACCUAUGAGCUCCAGAUAUCAAAACCUUAUUAGAGUAGGGUGAGAGAGAAGGUAAUGGCAUUAUGCCUCAUACUAAAAAUACCACAUACUCUG
rnacentral:lncRNA from 1 species